GCGGGCGGGGUGCUAUACAUGCAAGUCGAGCGGACAGAUGGGAGCUUGCUCCCUGAUGUUAGCGGCGGACGGGUGAGUAACACGUGGGUAACCUGCCUGUAAGACUGGGAUAACUCCGGGAAACCGGGGCUAAUACCGGAUGCUUGUUUGAACCGCAUGGUUCAGACAUAAAAGGUGGCUUCGGCUACCACUUACAGAUGGACCCGCGGCGCAUUAGCUAGUUGGUGAGGUAACGGCUCACCAAGGCGACGAUGCGUAGCCGACCUGAGAGGGUGAUCGGCCACACUGGGACUGAGACACGGCCCAGACUCCUACGGGAGGCAGCAGUAGGGAAUCUUCCGCAAUGGACGAAAGUCUGACGGAGCAACGCCGCGUGAGUGAUGAAGGUUUUCGGAUCGUAAAGCUCUGUUGUUAGGGAAGAACAAGUGCCGUUCAAAUAGGGCGGCACCUUGACGGUACCUAACCAGAAAGCCACGGCUAACUACGUGCCAGCAGCCGCGGUAAUACGUAGGUGGCAAGCGUUGUCCGGAAUUAUUGGGCGUAAAGGGCUCGCAGGCGGUUUCUUAAGUCUGAUGUGAAAGCCCCCGGCUCAACCGGGGAGGGUCAUUGGAAACUGGGGAACUUGAGUGCAGAAGAGGAGAGUGGAAUUCCACGUGUAGCGGUGAAAUGCGUAGAGAUGUGGAGGAACACCAGUGGCGAAGGCGACUCUCUGGUCUGUAACUGACGCUGAGGAGCGAAAGCGUGGGGAGCGAACAGGAUUAGAUACCCUGGUAGUCCACGCCGUAAACGAUGAGUGCUAAGUGUUAGGGGGUUUCCGCCCCUUAGUGCUGCAGCUAACGCAUUAAGCACUCCGCCUGGGGAGUACGGUCGCAAGACUGAAACUCAAAUGA
rnacentral:rRNA from 1 species